rnacentral:rRNA from 1 species
UACAGAGGGUGCAAGCGUUAAUCGGAAUUACUGGGCGUAAAGCGCGCGUAGGCGGCUGUCUAAGUCGGAUGUGAAAUCCCCGGGCUCAACCUGGGAACUGCAUUCAAAACUGACGAGCUAGAGUAUGGUAGAGGGUGGUGGAAUUUCCUGUGUAGCGGUGAAAUGCGUAGAUAUAGGAAGGAACACCAGUGGCGAAGGCGACCACCUGGACUGAUACUGACACUGAGGUGCGAAAGCGUGGGGAGCAAACAGG